rnacentral:rRNA from 1 species
GGUAGUAACAACUAAACAAACCAUCGAGUUUUGGCGGUCACACAAAAUUAGAGGAGCUCGUUAAAUAAUCGUAAAUACCCGAUAAAUUUUACUUAUUAUUAAAACUUAUAUACCGCCGUUAGAGAAAUAACCAAUAAUCAAAAUAAAACAAUCUUAAAAAAUCAGGUCAAGGUGUAGUUAAUAAAUGAGAAUAAAUUAGCUACAAAUAAACUUAAAAUUUAAGGAAUAAUACCCUAAAGCCAAUAAUGAAUAAGAAUCUAACCUCAAAUUAAUUUUAAAACAAAAAAUUGAC